UAGGAUUAGGUGUACUGGUAGCACGGAGAAUUUUGAAUUCUUAGGAGUAGGUUCAAUUCCUAUGGUCCUAG
rnacentral:tRNA from 1 species